rnacentral:rRNA from 1 species
AUUGAACGCUGGCGGCAGGCUUAACACAUGCAAGUCGAGCGAGAGGCGGACGGGUGAGUAAUGUCUGGGCAACUGCCUGAGGGAGGGGGUACACUACUGGAAACGAUAGCUACUAACGCACACAAUCAGAUAUGCCCGGAUGGGAUUAGCGAGUAGGGGGGGGAAUGGCACACCGAGGCGACGAUCCCUAGCUGGUCUGAGAGGAUGACCAGCCACACUGGAACUGAGACACGGUCCAGACUCCUACGGGAGGCAGCAGUGGGGAAUAUUGCACAAUGGGCGAAAGCCUGAUGCAGCCAUGCCGCGUGUGUGAAGAAGGCCUUCGGGUUGUAAAGCACUUUCAGCGAGGAGGCGUUACUCGCAGAAGAAGCACCGGCUAACUCCGUGCCAGCAGCCGCGGUAAUAC